AAAUGGUCGCGUUGACGUUUGGAUCGCUGCGUACAUAUGAACACAUUUCAGUAGAUAUUACAAGAAAACUUAGAGAUUUAUAUAACUAGACAUUUUUAAGGCGCCAUUGGCUUUAAAUCUAAUUAAUGGAAUAUGAUUGUUAGAUGAGUGAUGUAUUGUAUAUUUUUACGUGAUUAUGAUUUGUCAAUAGAAGAUUGUUUGAAAGCAGUUCAUCAUACCUUAUAUAUUACGUUAUAGAUAUCGGGUACUUAGAUAUAUGUGUUUAUAGGUAUACUGAUUUUUUUUCCAUAUAUACUAUAUAUAUAUAUGUAUGACCAACGUUCGACCGUGAUAGCUUUGAUUGAUUGGUUGCUUGAUAAGGAAUCACUAGCAUGUUACGGUAAACAAUAAAUGUCAAAGGCAAAAUCGGAACAUAAUUUUCAGUUUGUAGUGUGAACUAUAGUCAGUAAGAUACAAAUGAGAUACUUGAGUGUAGUUGUUCCAUUUUGUUGUAUUUCUAAAACUAAUAUUUUUUAACUGAGUGCUAAAUUAAAAAACCUGUACCUGAAUAAUGCUUCGGCUUUGAACAGUUGCACACGCAAAAGCCAAUACAAACACCGAAAUAUACAUACAUGUAUUUAUGUAUGUAUGUGUAUUUCCUGCGUUUGCUAUAUGCAUUUGUGUUUAUGUAUGCAUGUACUCGCCUGCUUACAUAAAUACUCGUACUUGACCGCGUCUGUGAUGGUGCCAAAUUGCUGACGUUUGCGUGAAAAAGCCGACGACUGUAUGUGUCGCUGAUGACGCGAUCACGCGCCAUGAAAAUUUAGCGACAGCACCUUUUUGUACAGAUGGAUAUGUAUACGAGUAUGUAUGUAUGUAGGCUAGGCUCCAAGAGAGUGUUUAAGAGUGCUCCAAAUGGAUGAGUCAAACGGCAGACGUUUAGGAUUAUAUUUUACAGGUACCUGCGAUCAUUAUAAGUUUACGAAAAUAGUCAGCACAGGAAGAAAACACCCAUAAAAUAAUAAGAUAUUUUAUGAUUUUGUAACAUUAUUUUGUAUGAAAAAAAAAAAAAUUUUAAAACUAUCUCUCACGAUUUAA